UACAGAGGGGGCAAGCGUUGUUCGGAAUUACUGGGCGUAAAGGGCGCGUAGGCGGCCUUCUAAGUCAGACGUGAAAUCCCUCGGCCCAACCGGGGAACUGCGUCUGAGACUGGAAGGCUUGAAUCCGGGAGAGGGAUGUGGAAUUCCAGGUGUAGCGGUGAAAUGCGUAGAUAUCUGGAGGAACACCGGUGGCGAAGGCGGCAUCCUGGACCGGUAUUGACGCUGAGGCGCGAAAGCCAGGGGAGCAAACGGG
rnacentral:rRNA from 1 species